AGUAAUUAUCAGGACAACCCAGCCUUGCACAUCCUAACUCGGAGCACUUAUUGGAUAUGUAAGAAUCAUAAGUCCUCUCAGUUAGGAGGAGCCCGACUGAGGAUCAAGCUACAAUUGCCC
rnacentral:precursor_RNA from 12 species